CCGUGGUGGGCGGGUGCUUCUCUAUUGGUCAGACAUGUUUGAUUGACAAGUGUCUACACCAACGACGUCUUUCUGACAAAGAAGUCUUGUUCGGCACUCCCCAGGCCAGACAGCUUUUUAACAGCAAGAGGGAACAGCGGUGAAGUUGUCGAAACCUACAAUGAACAGUAAAGCAGUUUGACUGAGGUUGGAGUGCUAGCAAUAGCUCAUUUCCAUCGAACCGAGGAUCGUCGUUUCUUCAUAAGGCGGGUUAGUUCAGGGCGGAGGGGCAGACCAUCUAUUGUUACCAGAGAGCACAUAGACGUCCUUAUGAAGCAAGGACAUACAAUCAAAAAAAAGGCAAAAAUGAUGGGAUGUUCCUCGUCGUUUUUGAACAACAAAUCAAAGCUGGUGGACCUACACAUAAGAGGAAGACUGUCUGCCUUAGAUGACAAUCAGCUGCAAGAGCGUGUGAGCACAUUGCAGGACCAGUAUCCAAACUCUGGGAAUGAGAUGAUGAGGGUGCUGCUUCGUGCUCAAGGUGUGAUUGUCACACGGGCCAGGGUACGCUAAAUGUUGGGAAGGACAAACCUGACAUCUGCUGCAAGAAGGUGGAGUCGGACUGUUGCAAGAUGGGGCUUUGUGAUACAUGGUGCCAUCGAAGGACACCCGUGUGGGAUUACCUCAGCUGCAGUACAAACAAUAGGGCAACAACAGUACUCUGUCAGUUUUUGAAAGCAACAUCUUACUAUGGACUACCAUCAAGAGUCAGAUCAGACCAUGGGGAUGAAAACAUGCUGCUUGCUUUAUGCAUGCAUCUAGUUCAAGGGCUGGAACACAGAGGCUUCAUAACAGGACAAUCAGUUCAUAAUCAGCGCAUAGAACACCUUUGGCAGGAUGUAUUUUUGCAUGUGCUGCAGCAUUUCUACCAUACAUUCUACUGUCUGGAGGACGCAGAGAAUCUUAACCCAGAUAAUGAUAUCCACAGACUUUCUUUACAUAUUGUAUAUCCACCUGAGAUUCAAAGGAGGCUGGAACAGUUCAGA